GUUCGGGGUCGGGGCGCGGGAAGGCGGGAGGUGCCCGGCAACCCUAGGAGCCCGGCGCGGGGCACGAUGGGACGCCCCCGGGAAGAGGCGGAGCUGGGUUCGAGCGCUGGGGCUGCGGUUGGGAAACUACUGGAGGAUGUGGUGCACCAGAAUAAGAGAAUAAACCAAGAAACAGGAAGACGUGAUCCAGGCAACAGGAUAUUCCAGUAUAGGUGAGAAAUAAGAAAGUCUCCAAGAUGAUAAUGAAGGGAAAUCCUAGGGUGAUAGCUGGCCUGGCAGCAGGCCUAGGGAGCAAUCAGUAAGGCUGGAGCCAGAGGACAAAAGCCUCCAGGAGGGAGGUACCCAAGAAAUAAGAUGAAAUGAAUACAGGAAAAAUCUACACUUUUAGUGAAUGAUGGAGAAUAAAUUCAUGAUUGGAACAUAGAAAACUAAGCAAAUAAAUCC
rnacentral:lncRNA from 1 species